GCCGAGAGGUGAAAUGAAUUUCGCCUGAGGAUGAGCUCGCGUCUGAUUAGCUAGUUGGUGAGGUAAUGGCUCACCAAGGCUUCGAUCAGUAGCUGGUCUGAGAGGAUGAUCAGCCACACUGGGACUGAGACACGGCCCAGACUCCUACGGGAGGCAGCAGUGGGGAAUUUUCCGCAAUGGGCGAAAGCCUGACGGAGCAACGCCGCGUGAGGGAUGAAGGCCUCUGGGCUGUAAACCUCUUUUAUCAAGGAAGAAGAUCUGACGGUACUUGAUGAAUAAGCCACGGCUAAUUCCGUGCCAGCAGCCGCGGUAAUACGGGAGUGGCAAGCGUUAUCCGGAAUUAUUGGGCGUAAAGCGUCCGCAGGCGGUUUUGAAAGUCUGUUGUUAAAGCGUGGAGCUUAACUCCAUUUCAGCAAUGGAAACUACAAGACUAGAGUGUGGUAGGGGCAGAGGGAAUUCCCGGUGUAGCGGUGAAAUGCGUAGAUAUCGGGAAGAACACCAGUGGCGAAGGCGCUCUGCUGGGCCAUAACUGACGCUCAUGGACGAAAGCCAGGGGAGCGAAAGGGAUUAGAUACCCCUGUAGUCCUGACCGUAAACGAUGAACACUAGGUGUCGGGGGAAUCGACCCCCUCGGUGUCGUAGCCAACGCGUUAAGUGUUCCGCCUGGGGAGUACGCACGCAAGUGUGAAACUCAAAGGAAUUGACGGGGGCCCGCACAAGCGGUGGAGUAUGUGGUUUAAUUCGAUGCAACGCGAAGAACCUUACCAGGGUUUGACAUCCUGCGAAUCCCUUGGAAACUUGGGAGUGCCUUCGGGAGCGCAGUGACAGGUGGUGCAUGGCUGUCGUCAGCUCGUGUCGUGAGAUGUUGGGUUAAGUCCCGCAACGAGCGCAACCCACGUCUUUAGUUGCCAGCAUUUAGUUGGGCACUCUAGAGAGACUGCCGGUGAUAAACCGGAGGAAGGUGUGGAUGACGUCAAGUCAUCAUGCCCCUUACAUCCUGGGCUACACACGUACUACAAUGCUACGGACAAAGGGCAGCAAACUCGCGAGAGCUAGCAAAUCCCAUAAACCGUGGCUCAGUUCAGAUCGUAGGCUGCAACUCGCCUACGUGAAGGAGGAAUCGCUAGUAAUCGCAGGUCAGCAUACUGCGGUGAAUACGUUCCCGGGCCUUGUACACACCGCCCGUCACACCAUGGAAGUUGGCCACGCCCGAAGUCGUUACUCCAACCCUUGUGGAGGAGGAUGCCGAAGGUGGGGCUGAUGACUGGGGUGAAGUCGUAACAAGGUAGCCGUACCGGAAGGUGCGGCUGGAUCACCUCCUAACAGGGAGACAAUACCUGAUCGUGAUGUCUGAGUAUUUUUAUUCUUAGACCAUGAUCCUGUCAUCUCGAAGGUCGAUCGGUACCUCAACUUGAGGGUAAGAGAAAAGCUGAGCAAUCAGUUUAGAGACUUGCCAUUCAAUUUCAGUUCCUAAACUUUGUCUAGGUCACCCCACAGGGUCGUUAGUUUAACUCGAAGCAUUUUGCUUUGAGAUUAAAUAAGACGUUACUGAGCGGUAGCAACUCCUGGGCCAUUAGCUCAGGUGGUUAGAGCGCACCCCUGAUAAGGGUGAGGUCCCUGGUUCAAGUCCAGGAUGGCCCAUUCACCGCCUGCUGAGCAGGCAGGACUACAUGGCUGGGGGUUUAGCUCAGUUGGUAGAGCGCCUGCUUUGCAAGCAGGAUGUCAGCGGUUCGAGUCCGCUAACCUCCAUCCAAUGUUGAGGCUCUGCUCUCGGACCAUGCCUCGGACCAUGCAUGCUUUUAAAGGAUGCUAGGAAAGAGUUUGGAGUUUUACUGUUGUGUUGAUCUAGAUGGUUGUUUGCUGAAGAUUUCAGCUUCUUUUCAUUCUUGUCUAGUCAAGAUCUAAUCAAAAAUCUGAUCAAGAUCCAAUCAAGACUGGUUGAAAGGACGCUGAAUUCAACGCUGCCCUGGGAACAGGGCAGUUUGAAUGUCAGCAGAACCUUGACAACUGCAUAGUUGAAGUCUGGAAAUAAAGCAUCUCAUGGAUGCUUGAUUCAGGUCUUAAGUCGAAUCCAGUAAUGGAUUUGAUUUGGGAUGUGAGUCAAGAAAAUUCUAUUGAGUUUUUAGAGCCGAGAGCUUCCAGUUUUCUUGUUUGUCCGCCGAGGGCAAACGAGUUUGAUC
rnacentral:misc_RNA from 1 species